GGGGCUGUUGCUAAGUGGUAAAGCAUCUGCUUGGGAUGCCGAAGAUCCCAGGUUCAAUCCCUGGCAUUUCCA